UACGGGGGGAGCAAGCGUUGUUCGGAUUUACUGGGCGUAAAGAGCGCGCAGGCGGUCGUUCAAGUCGAGUGUGAAAGCCCCCGGCUCAACUGGGGAGGGUCAUUCGAUACUGAUCGACUCGAAGGCAGGAGAGGGUAGUGGAAUUCCCGGUGUAGUGGUGAAAUGCGUAGAUAUCGGGAGGAACACCAGUGGCGAAGGCGACUACCUGGCCUGUUCUUGACGCUGAGGCGCGAAAGCUAGGGGAGCAAACGGG
rnacentral:rRNA from 1 species